rnacentral:ncRNA from 1 species
CCGCACAAGCGGUGGAGCAUGUGGUUCAAUUCGAUGCAAAGCGAAGAACCUUACCAGGGCUUGACAUGCCAUGAAUCCUCCCGAAAGAGAGGAGUGCCUUCGGGAACGUGGACAUAGGUGGUGCAUGGCUGUCAUCAGCUCAUGCCGUAAGGUGUUGGGUUAAGUCCCACAAUGAGCGCAACCCUCGUGUUUAGUUGCCAGCAUUGAGUUUGGAACCCUGAACAGACUGUCAGUGAUAAUCUGGAGGAAGGUGAGGAUGACGUUAAUUAAUCAUGCCCCUUACGCCCUGGGCGACACACAUGCUACAAUGACUGGGACAAAGGGUAACGACCCCGCGAGGGAAAUCUAACCUCAAAAACCCGGCCUCAGUUUGGAUUGCAGGCUGCAACUCGCCUGCAUGAAGCCGGAAUCUCUAGUAAUCGUCGGUCAGCCAUACGGCGGUGAAUCCGUUCCCGGGCCUUGUACACACUGCCCGUCACACUAUGGGAGUUGUCCAUGCCCCAAGUCAUUACCUUAACCGCAAGGAGGGGGAUG